CUAAAACAGGUAAAAAUAUCUGUUUAUUGUUUUUUUUAAAUUAAGAAUACAAGACGUUGACUAUCAAACAUUACUUUCCAAGUAGGCUUAAAAGCCCACCUUGUGACGACGACCCUAAAUUUGAACCCAGAAGAUUAUUCGUUGCUGCAGUUUGAGUUCCCGUGUUGGUCGUUGCCGUGAGGCCGCCUGUCAGGCCUCCAGUGAGUCCGCCCAAGAGUCCACCACUGGACGUUGCAGCUGUGCCGGUGUUGGUCGAAGUCUGUCCACUAAGCAAUGUUUCAAGCAAUGCGGAGGUUUGAGCGUUGGUGAGAGAGCCAGUCGCACCGCUUCCUAACAGACCAGACAAUGCCCCUGCUACCGUGUUGACCACGUUUCCGGUGCUGCCCCCGGUGCCCCCACCACCCAAAAGACCUGUUGCGGUGUUCAAUAGGUCCCCAGCUGUUCCCGUCGCGGUGUUCACAACGCUUCCAACAGGGUUACCAUUUAACAGGUUUCCAAGCGUUCCAGUCACUGUGUUGACAACG